CCUACGGGUGGCAGCAGUGGGGAAUAUUGGGCAAUGGGGGGAACCCUGACCCAGCGACGCCGCGUGGGUGAAGAAAUCCUUCGGGAUGUAAAGCCCUGUUGUAUGGGAAGAGUAGAAGACGGUACCAUACGAGGAAGCCCCGGCAAACUACGUGCCGGCAGCCGCGGUAAUACGUAGGGGGCAAGCGUUGUUCGGAAUCACUGGGCGUAAAGGGCGCGCAGGCGGUUAGGCAAGUCAGAUGUGAAAUCCCAUGGCUUAACUGUGGAAGUGCAUUUGAAACUGCCAGGCUUGAGUACCAGAGGGGAAAGUGGAAUUCCCGGUGUAGAGGUGAAAUUCGUAGAUAUCGGGAGGAAUACCGGUGGCGAAGGCGACUUUCUGACUGGAUACUGACGCUGAGGCGCGAAAGCGUGGGGAGCAAACAGGAUUAGAUACCCCAGUAGUC
rnacentral:rRNA from 1 species